UACGGAGGGUGCAAGCAUUAAUCGGAUUUAUUGGGCGUAAAGGGCGCGUAGAUGGGAAAAUAAGUCAGAUGUGAAAUUCCGAUGCUCAACAUCGGAGCUGCAUUUGAAACUAUUUUUCUAGAGGAUAGGCGGAGAAAGCGGAAUUCCACGUGUAGCGGUGAAAUGCGUAGAUAUGUGGAAGAACACCUGUGGCGAAAGCGGCUUUCUAGCUUAUAGCUGACAUUGAGGCGCGAGAGCAAGGGGAGCAAACAGG
rnacentral:rRNA from 1 species